GCGGGAUGAAGGCCUUCGGGCUGUAAACCGCUUUCAGCAGGAACGAAAAUGACGGUACCUGCAGAAGAAGGAGCGGCCAACUACGUGCCAGCAGCCGCGGUGACACGUAGGCUCCAAGCGUUGUCCGGAUUUAUUGGGCGUAAAGAGCUCGUAGGCGGUUGAGUAAGUCGGGUGUGAAAACUCUGGGCUUAACCCGGAGACGCCAUCCGAUACUGCUCUGACUAGAGUUCAGGAGGGGAGUGGGGAAUUCCUAGUGUAGCGGUGAAAUGCGCAGAUAUUAGGAGGAACACCGGUGGCGAAGGCGCCACUCUGGACUGAAACUGACGCUGAGGAGCGAAAGCAUGGGUAGCAAACAGGAUUAGAUACCCUGGUAGUCCAUGCCGUAAACGGUGGGCACUAGGUGUGGGUUCCAACUAACGGGAUCCGCGCCGUCGCUAACGCAUUAAGUGCCCCGCCUGGGGAGUACGGUCGCAAGACUA
rnacentral:rRNA from 1 species